UACGCUCUAUACCCUUUGUGACAUACCUACAACUGUUGCUUCGGCGGGUAGGCCGUCCCCUGAAAAGGACGCCUCCCGGCCCGGACCGGACCCCCCGCGGGACCGGACCCGGCGCCCGCCGGAGGAUAACCAAACUCUAUUGUAACGACGUUUCUUCUGAGUGGCAUAAGCAAAAUAAUCAAAACUUUUAACAACGGAUCUCUUGGUUCUGGCAUCGAUGAAGAACGCAGCGAAAUGCGAUAAGUAAUGUGAAUUGCAGAAUUCAGUGAAUCAUCGAAUCUUUGAACGCACAUUGCGCCCGCCAGCAUUCUGGCGGGCAUGCCUGUUCGAGCGUCAUUUCAACCCUCAAGCUCUGCUUGGUGUUGGGGCUCUACGGUCGACGUAGGCCCUCAAAGGUAGUGGCGGACCCUCCCGGAGCCUCCUUUGCGUAGUAACAUUUCGUCUCGCACUGGGAUCCGGAGGGACUCUUGCCGUAAAACCCCCCAAUUUUCCAAAGGUUGACCUCGGAUCAGGUAGGAAUACCCGCUGAACUUAAGCAUAUCAAUAAGCGC
rnacentral:rRNA from 1 species